rnacentral:misc_RNA from 1 species
GAUGAAGAACGCAGCGAAAUGCGAUAAGUAAUGUGAAUUGCAGAAUUCAGUGAAUCAUCGAAUCUUUGAACGCACAUUGCGCCCGGUAGUAAUCUGCCGGGCAUGCCUGUCCGAGCGUCAUUUCAACCCUCGAACCACUAUUCGCGUAGCUGGAUCGGUGUUGGGGCACUACGGUGGAAUACCCGUAGGCCCCGAAAUGAAGUGGCGGUCCCGCCGCGGCGCCCCAUGCGUAGUAACAUCUCGUCUCGCAUCGGGUCCCGGCGGAGGCCUGCCGUCAAGCCUAUUUUCUAAUUACAGAUGGUUUGACCUCGGAUCAGGUAGGGUUACCCGCUGAACUUAAGCAUAUCAAUAAGCGGAGGA